rnacentral:sRNA from 1 species
AAGAAUCACUUGAAUCCAAGUGGAUCACUUAAGGUGAAGAGUUCGAGACCAGCCUGGCCAACAUGGUGAAACCUCGUCUCUAGUAAAAAUACAAAAAUAAGCCAGGCAUGGUGGUGCACGCCUAUAAUCCCAGCUACUCAGGAGGCUGAGACACAAGAAUUGCUUGAACCCGGGAGGCAGAGGUUGCAGUGAGACAAGAUGGCACCAGUGCACUCCAGCCUGGGCGACAGAGCGAGACUCUGUCUCCAAAAAGAAAGAAAAAUAUUGUGGCACUGGGGCAUCAACUUGAUUGAACGUCCAGAGGAUUAUAGUCUGCUGUAUAUGGCCAUCCUUGGUUUUACCAGUUUUUCAGAGCUCAAUCUGGGGAAAAGAAAAAAAAAAUUAUACUUUCCCUAAGAAGUAACUGAUAUCUGGAGCCAACUUUGCAAGUAAGUAGAAUACAUUCUGAAUUUUAUUUGAAUCUCAAGAAUUAAAAUAUUACUUUGAAAAUCAUUUGUCACAAACUGUCAGAAUAGUUAAGAAACUACUUAGAGCAAAGAAUGAGGAAACAUAGCUUGAAAGUUAGAUCCCUUCCCUAAUAAAAAAAGCUACUUAGCUUUAUACCCAAACUAAGGCAUUGCAGAAGAAAAUAUUUGCAAUAUCAUUAUUUAGCAUUCUGAAUAAUUAAUAAAUUGGGCUGUUUUCUUUUGGCAGGAUGGGAAGCACAAAAUGCAAGAGGAAAAUGUUAAACUAAAAAAGCCCCUGGAAGAAAGCCACAGGCUGCAACCCCACCCUAUGGAUGAACAGGAUCAGCUGCUGCUCUCUGAAAAGCCACAGGUGUGUCAGCUAUGCCAGGAAGACGGCAGCCUAACAAAGAAUGUGUGUAAGAACUGCAGCGGAACCUUCUGUGAUGC